GGGCCCUUUGAUAGCUUUGAUUGUUCCCCCACUUUCCUCCCUUCCUGGUGACUCCCCAGCACUUGCCCCUGCAACCUUUUCCCUCCCAGGCCCCUGCUCUGACUUCACAAAGGCCAGGCUCUCCGAUGGCAGUCCAGGGUGGCAAGCAGCCCACAGGACACAUAACAACUUCCCCAGCUUCUAAGCGGUUCCCGGCAAGACUGCCAAAUAAAAUAGGGACCCAUGGACUUGAACAUGAGCAACAAGAUGCCACCUCAGUCAUGAGAGCAGGAGGGUGUGGAGCGUCUGCAGCUGAAUCCCACCUUCUAAUCCGACCCGCCCAGCAGUGUAGAAGGCUCCAGCACGUGACAUAACUCUGGGACGUCAUCUGCAAAAUGGGGGUAAGUAGAACCUGGCUCCUAGAGCUGAUGCAAUCUCUAAAGGAAGAGAGGUGUGUGCAAAACUCAGCACAGAGCCUGACAUUCACUAAAUGGUCAGUGAGUGACGGCCAUUAUCUACUUGGUCAGAGAGAGACAAAGAGCGCCAUCACAUUCCCUGCAUCCUGACAACCCUGCCCAGUGCCUGAAGUGCCCUGCAGCGUCACAGGGACGGGGCUGGCCAGCUGGAGAAGCUGUGUGUGAAGCCGGACUGUUGUCUCUGGUCCCUCUGGUUAACAUUCCACUCAUCUGCAAGAAGUAAGGAAAGAAUUGCUCUACAGGACAGCUCUGCCCUUUUUUGCCCCCGAGGAAACUUCUGGUCUUUGAAAGCUAAGCUUUGUGCGCUUCUCCGGUUCAUUUCCUUAGUGCUUCGCCCACUUCUGGGGAGUAGUCUCCCCGAACAUCUGAAGAUUUCCAUUUUCUUUAUUGCUCUGCCUCUUCCUCCUCCGUUUUUCAUAUUCCUCUCCUCUUUUCGUGUCUAGCUAAAGCGAAGACUUGAGUCUUAUUAACAUUGCCGGCCCUGCACCUUCUCCACGGAGCACGUGGGUGUCAGAAUAUCAUAACCCGGGUGUCACUCAAACCUUCUCUCUGCCUCAGGGUGUCACUCACACAGCACCGCGGACCUGAGCCGUAGUUGGUGGGGGUGAACAUGAACCAGUGGUGUGCAAGGUGAGGAGGAGGGGUCUUAGAGAGGUGGUGGGGCGAUGCCACCCUGGGCUCCAGCCAGUUCCACCACCCCCAGCCUUUGUCCAGCCCCGGGUCUCUCCACAAGCACCCCCUUCCCUUCCCUGGGGGAAGGAAGCUUCCAUCUCUUCAGGGCCAAUACACCACCCACAGGGAGGGGACAGUAUCUACUGUGAG
rnacentral:lncRNA from 1 species